AGUGAACGCUGGCGGUAGGCCUAACACAUGCAAGUCGAACGGCAGCACAGUAAGAGCUUGCUCUUACGGGUGGCGAGUGGCGGACGGGUGAGGAAUACAUCGCAAUCUACUUUUUCGUGGGGGACAACGUAGGGAAACUUACGCUAAUACCGCAUACGACCUACGGGUGAAAGCAGGGGAUCUUCGGACCUUGCGCGAUCGAAUGAGCCGAUGUCGGAUUAGCUAGUUGGCGGGGUAAAGGCCCACCAAGGCGACGAUCCGUAGCUGGCCUGAGAGGAUGAUCAGCCACACUGGAACUGAGACACGGUCCAGACUCCUACGGGAGGCAGCAGUGGGGAAUAUUGGACAAUGGGCGCAAGCCUGAUCCAGCCAUACCGCGUGGGUGAAGAAGGUCUUCGGAUUGUAAAGCCCUUUUAUUGGGGAAGAAAAGCAGCAGGUUAAUACCCCGCUGUUUUGACGGUACCCAAAGAAUAAGCACCGGCUAACUUCGUG
rnacentral:rRNA from 1 species